UGUUCCCGCCCGGGAUCGAACCGGGGACCUUGUGCGUGUGAAGCACAUGUGAUAACCGCUACACCACGGGAAG
rnacentral:tRNA from 1 species